GGGUUGUGAGGUUAAGCGACUAAGCGUACACGGUGGAUGCCCUGGCAGUCAGAGGCGAUGAAGGACGUGCUAAUCUGCGAAAAGCGUCGGUAAGGUGAUAUGAACCGUUAUAACCGGCGAUGUCCGAAUGGGGAAACCCAGUGCAAUUCGUUGCACUAUCGUUAACUGAAUACAUAGGUUAACGAGGCGAACCGGGGGAACUGAAACAUCUAAGUACCCCGAGGAAAAGAAAUCAACCGAGAUUCCCCCAGUAGCGGCGAGCGAACGGGGAGCAGCCCAGAGUCUGAAUCAGCUUGUGUGUUAGUGGAACGGUCUGGAAAGUCCGACGGUACAGGGUGAUAGUCCCGUACACCAAAAUGCACAGGUUGUGAACUCGAAGAGUAGGGCGGGACACGUGGUAUCCUGUCUGAAUAUGGGGGGACCAUCCUCCAAGGCUAAAUACUCCUGACUGACCGAUAGUGAACCAGUACCGUGAGGGAAAGGCGAAAAGAACCCCGGCGAGGGGAGUGAAAAAGAACCUGAAACCGUGUACGUACAAGCAGUGGGAGCACCUUCGGGUGUGACUGCGUACCUUUUGUAUAAUGGGUCAGCGACUUAUAUUCUGUAGCAAGGUUAACCGUAUAGGGGAGCCGCAGGGAAACCGAGUCUUAACUGGGCGUUAAGUUGCAGGGUAUAGACCCGAAACCCGGUGAUCUAGCCAUGGGCAGGUUGAAGGUUGGGUAACACUAACUGGAGGACCGAACCGACUAAUGUUGAAAAAUUAGCGGAUGACUUGUGGCUGGGGGUGAAAGGCCAAUCAAACCGGGAGAUAGCUGGUUCUCCCCGAAAGCUAUUUAGGUAGCGCCUCGUGAACUCAUCUUCGGGGGUAGAGCACUGUUUCGGCUAGGGGGUCAUCCCGACUUACCAACCCGAUGCAAACUACGAAUACCGAAGAAUGUUAUCACGGGAGACACACGGCGGGUGCUAACGUCCGUCGUGAAGAGGGAAACAACCCAGACCGCCAGCUAAGGUCCCAAAGUCAUGGUUAAGUGGGAAACGAUGUGGGAAGGCACAGACAGCCAGGAUGUUGGCUUAGAAGCAGCCAUCAUUUAAAGAAAGCGUAAUAGCUCACUGGUCGAGUCGGCCUGCGCGGAAGAUGUAACGGGGCUAAACCAUGCACCGAAGCUGCGGCAGCGACACUAUGUGUUGUUGGGUAGGGGAGCGUUCUGUAAGCCUGCGAAGGUGACCUGUGAGGGUUGCUGGAGGUAUCAGAAGUGCGAAUGCUGACAUAAGUAACGAUAAAGCGGGUGAAAAGCCCGCUCGCCGGAAGACCAAGGGUUCCUGUCCAACGUUAAUCGGGGCAGGGUGAGUCGACCCCUAAGGCGAGGCCGAAAGGCGUAGUCGAUGGGAAACAGGUUAAUAUUCCUGUACUUGGUGUUACUGCGAAGGGGGGACGGAGAAGGCUAUGUUAGCCGGGCGACGGUUGUCCCGGUUUAAGCAUGUAGGCUGGUUAUCCAGGCAAAUCCGGAUAAUCAAGGCUGAGGUGUGAUGACGAGGCACUACGGUGCUGAAGUAACAAAUGCCCUGCUUCCAGGAAAAGCCUCUAAGCAUCAGGUAACAUCAAAUCGUACCCCAAACCGACACAGGUGGUCAGGUAGAGAAUACCAAGGCGCUUGAGAGAACUCGGGUGAAGGAACUAGGCAAAAUGGUGCCGUAACUUCGGGAGAAGGCACGCUGGUGUGUAGGUGAAGUCCCUGCGGAUGGAGCUGAGACCAGUCGAAGAUACCAGCUGGCUGCAACUGUUUAUUAAAAACACAGCACUGUGCAAACACGAAAGUGGACGUAUACGGUGUGACGCCUGCCCGGUGCCGGAAGGUUAAUUGAUGGGGUUAUCCGUAAGGAGAAGCUCUUGAUCGAAGCCCCGGUAAACGGCGGCCGUAACUAUAACGGUCCUAAGGUAGCGAAAUUCCUUGUCGGGUAAGUUCCGACCUGCACGAAUGGCGUAAUGAUGGCCAGGCUGUCUCCACCCGAGACUCAGUGAAAUUGAACUCGCUGUGAAGAUGCAGUGUACCCGCGGCAAGACGGAAAGACCCCGUGAACCUUUACUAUAGCUUGACACUGAACAUUGAGCCUUGAUGUGUAGGAUAGGUGGGAGGCUUUGAAGCGUGGACGCCAGUCUGCGUGGAGCCAACCUUGAAAUACCACCCUUUAAUGUUUGAUGUUCUAACGUUGGCCCCUGACCGGGGUUGCGGACAGUGUCUGGUGGGUAGUUUGACUGGGGCGGUCUCCUCCCAAAGCGUAACGGAGGAGCACGAAGGUUAGCUAAUCCUGGUCGGACAUCAGGAGGUUAGUGCAAUGGCAUAAGCUAGCUUGACUGCGAGCGUGACGGCGCGAGCAGGUGCGAAAGCAGGUCAUAGUGAUCCGGUGGUUCUGAAUGGAAGGGCCAUCGCUCAACGGAUAAAAGGUACUCCGGGGAUAACAGGCUGAUACCGCCCAAGAGUUCAUAUCGACGGCGGUGUUUGGCACCUCGAUGUCGGCUCAUCACAUCCUGGGGCUGAAGUAGGUCCCAAGGGUAUGGCUGUUCGCCAUUUAAAGUGGUACGCGAGCUGGGUUUAGAACGUCGUGAGACAGUUCGGUCCCUAUCUGCCGUGGGCGCUGGAGAAUUGAGGGGGGCUGCUCCUAGUACGAGAGGACCGGAGUGGACGCAUCACUGGUGUUCGGGUUGUCAUGCCAAUGGCACUGCCCGGUAGCUAAAUGCGGAAGAGAUAAGUGCUGAAAGCAUCUAAGCACGAAACUUGCCCCGAGAUGAGUUCUCCCUGAGACUUUAAGUCUCCUGAAGGAACGUUAAAGACGAUGACGUUGAUAGGCCGGGUGUGUAAGCGCAGCGAUGCGUUGAGCUAACCGGUACUAAUGAACCGUGAGGCUUAACCUUACAACGCCGAAG
rnacentral:rRNA from 1 species